CCGCGGGGCUCGGGCUGCCGCCCCAGCCCAGCAUGUCGGCCCCCUGGAGGCAGGUGGGGCGCAGAGGGGUGGAUUCUCCCCGGCUCCUGGGCGGCGCGGCUCCGCUGCUAACGCCAUGCAAACGCUCGGGCUUGCUGCGCCGGGAAGCUCCGCGAGUCUCCUCACAGAACAGCCUCGCCAGCAUCCACCGCCAGCUCCAGCCAGGGGCUGCACGGGACCCGCCCGGCCGGGCCCGCUGCUGCCUCCAGCACGGGGAGACAAGAAGCACCAGCCGCUCCCGGCUUCUGUGGCCAGGAGCGGAGCCGAUCGGGAGCCGGACGCUUUACCUGCCUCGGCUGGCUCUGGCAUUGCUCCUACUACUAAGGCAUCGGGAACAGGAAGAGCAGCUUUCUGUGCCCAGUAACCCUCGUAUCCCCCACGCCUCCUGGUCUCCUCGCCGGCGAAGCCAGCUCGCAGCUGCUGCUCCCCGGGAAUUCAUCAUGAAGGAGGCGACGAGAAAGAGCCCAGGAAACAACCGCUACUUCGGGCCUUUAGCUCUUUCUUUGUGGCCCGGAACCGUUGGGUUGAGGUUACAAACUCCCCCUGUGAACUGUGAGGAUUGGUGGUGACUCGAGGCUUGUAACAAAAGUUUCUUCUAACCAACUCCUAGUUUGGAGGUGACGCGGAAAGACAGAGGGGAAAGGAAAUUGGCCCUGAGAGCAAGGAAUAGCUCAUCUUCUUCUAUAUAUGCUGCCAUUUGCCAUGAAGAGAAAACAGAAGAGAUUUUUGCAAAUGACGUUGUUGUUCAUGGUGGCUUUAAUUUUCCUGCCUAAUAUUGGUCUGUGGUCUUUGUACAAGGAUAAACACCUGGUGAAAUCCCCAGAGCCAGGAGAGCAGCAGGUGAGUGAAGGGGGGGGGAAUAUAGUUUUGUUUGCUAAGUAACCAGCCAUUAAAAUUUAAAAGCAUAAUUUAGCUUGAUCCGUGGCUGCUAUAAAAAGCUAUUUUGCACUUGAUGAUGCUCAUGUGUCAUUUUUAACUUGAGAUUGCUUUGAAUUCCAAAUGAUAUUUAAUAGCUUGAAGACCUCUUUGAUAUCCCAAUGGUAAAUAUAAUGUGGAGAAAAGGAAAGCAUGUAUUAUACAAGAAAACUUAAGUGAGAUGUUGUAGAAGGUAAAUUAAGCUAUGGAUUUAAGUUUCUCAGGAGAACAUUUACAUGAAUACUUACAGAAUCUGACUAUGCAAUGAUGACCAGAUGCACAUACUGAUGUAGACAGGCACAGUCCAGUGGCUAUAUCUGGGCUAAACGUGGCCCCCAACGUCUGUAAUAUUCACUAGGGGCAAACAAAAAGUGCAGACAUUAUCAGAACUUCCAUCUAGCCAGCAUGCAAUCAGUAAUGCCUCCUAAAAGGAAAUACAGUAGUAUGUCUAUUAAAAUUGCUCAUCAUCCAAUCAAGUUAACUGCCAUUUGCUCUUCUGAUAGGAACUGCUUUUCCUUUUUCUACUAGAAACUUAAAAUAAGUGACUGUCAGUCUUCUCCUUUCUACUGAAUAUUGUUAAUAUGGCCUGGUACAACUAUAGAUAAUGUAUACAGAGGUCAGGCUGUGUGUUUGAUGUCAUAAUAUGCACUUAAA
ensembl:lncRNA